rnacentral:lncRNA from 1 species
UUACCAUCUGAUCCACCAGGGAACUCCAUGCCAGAUAACUAAAAGGUGUAAACAAUAAGGAAUCAUGGGAUUUGUAGCAAAUUGGACUCCAGGCUACACUGGGAUGUUGAUGCACCGUGACUUUUUCUCCAUCCCAUUCCAUCUUUGGGUACACUUACAACAACCCUGCUGACCCUAAAGCCUCAUGACUUCAUCUGCCAUCUCGCCCAUUGAUGUGAUCCUUCCCUGCUUCAAAGACCUGUUUCCAGCAUUGGGUCUGAUAUAUACUGAUAAGCCAGUGGCAAUGAUGUUGACAUGCAUUGACAGGACAUGGACAAUCAUUUGCUCCAGGAUGGAACAGCUGUAUUUGUGGACCGCUGCUGCUCCUGCUGCUGCUGCUGCUGCUGCUAAGUUGCUUCAGUCGUGUCCGACUCUGUGUGACCCCAUAGACGGCAGCCCACCAGGCUCCCCCAUCCCUGGGAUUCUCCAGGCAAGAACACUGGAGUGGGUUGCCAUUUCCUUCUCCAAUGCAUGAAAGUGAAAAGUGAAAGCCAAGUCGCUCAGUCGUGUCCAACUCUUAGCGACCCCAUGGACUGCAGCCCACCAGGCUCCUCCAUCCACGGGAUUUUCCAGGCAAGACUUCUGGAGUGGGGUGCCAUUGCCUUCUCCAGUUAUUGUGGACUGAUUUCACUUUUUUAAAAAUAGAAGUAUCUGUCUCUUUGUUGUUGCUGCUCUUUAGUUGC